AACGAACGCUGGCGGCAGGCUUAACACAUGCAAGUCGAGCGCCCCGCAAGGGGAGCGGCAGACGGGUGAGUAACGCGUGGGAAUCUACCUUUUGCUACGGAAUAACUCAGGGAAACUUAUGCUAAUACCGUAUGUGCCCUUCGGGGAAAGAUUUAUCGGCAAGGGAUGAGCCCGCCUUGGAUUAGCUAGUUGGUGGGGUAAAGGCCUACCAGGGCGACGAUCCAUAGCUGGUCUGAGAGGAUGAUCAGCCACACUGGGACUGAGACACGGUCCAG
rnacentral:rRNA from 1 species